rnacentral:rRNA from 1 species
UAUGGAGGGUGCGAGCGUUGUCCGGAAUCACUGGGCGUAAAGGGCGCGUAGGCGGCUCAUGAAGGCUGUGGUGAAAGUCCGGGGCUCAACCUCGGAUCGGCCGUGGCGACUCGUGGGCUGGAGCACUGUAGAGGCGGGUGGAAUUCCGGGUGUAGCGGUGGAAUGCGUAGAGAUCCGGAAGAACACCAGUGGCGAAGGCGGCCCGCUGGGCAGUGGCUGACGCUGAAGCGCGACAGCGUGGGGAGCAAACAGG